rnacentral:rRNA from 1 species
UAGCAAUACAAGGCUGAGCUAGUGGCGAACGGGUGCGUAACACGUGAGCAAUCUGCCUUAAAGUGGGGGAUAGCUCGCCGAAAGGCGAAUUAAUACCGCAUGUGGUUGCAAAACCAAAGCCGGGGGAACCUGGCGCUUGUAGAGGAGCUCGCGGCCUAUCAGCUUGUUGGUGAGGUAACGGCUCACCAAGGCCUCGACGGGUAGGUGGGCCUGAAAGGACGACCAGCCACUCUGGAACUGGGACCACGGUCCAGACACCUACGGGUGGCAGCAGUCGAGAAUCUUUCUCAAUGGGGGAAACCCUGAAGGAGCGACGCCGCGUGGAGGAUGAAUGCUUUCGGGUUGUAAACUCCUGUCAUUUGGGAACAAAGCCUUACGUUAACUGCGUGGAGGUUUGAUAGUACCAGAAGAGGAAGAGACGGCUAACUCUGUGCCAGCAGCCGCGGUAAUACAGAGGUCUCAAGCGUUGUUCGGAUUCAUUGGGCGUAAAGGGCGCGUAGGCUGCGGGGUAAGUCGGGUGUGAAAUCUCAGAGCUCAACUCUGAAACUGCACUCGAUACUGCUCUGCUAGAGGACUGGAGAGGAGAUUGGAAUUCUCGGUGUAGCA